GACGAACGCUGGCGGCGUGCCUAAUACAUGCAAGUCGAACGAGAGCGACCGGUGCUUGCACUGGUCAAUCUAGUGGCGAACGGGUGAGUAACACGUGGGUAACCUGCCCAUCAGAGGGGGAUAACAUUCGGAAACGGAUGCUAAAACCGCAUAGGUUCUUGAGUCGCAUGACCCGAGAAGGAAAAGAGGCUUCGGCUUCUGCUGAUGGAUGGACCCGCGGUGCAUUAGCUAGUUGGUGAGGUAACGGCUCACCAAGGCCGUGAUGCAUAGCCGACCUGAGAGGGUGAUCGGCCACAUUGGGACUGAGACACGGCCCAAACUCCUACGGGAGGCAGCAGUAGGGAAUCUUCCGCAAUGGACGCAAGUCUGACGGAGCAACGCCGCGUGAGUGAAGAAGGAUUUCGGUUCGUAAAACUCUGUUGUUAGAGAAGAACAGCGCAUAGAGUAACUGUUAUGCGUGUGACGGAU
rnacentral:rRNA from 1 species